rnacentral:rRNA from 1 species
UACGUAGGUGGCAAGCGUUGUCCGGAAUUAUUGGACGUAAAGCGCGCGCAGGCGGUCCUUUAAGUCUGAUGUGAAAGCCCACGGCUCAACCGUGGAGGGUCGUUGGAAACUGGGGGACUUGAGUGCAGAAGAGGAAAGUGGAAUUCCACGUGUAGCGGUGAAAUGCGUAGAGAUGUGGAGGAACGCCAGUGGCGAAGGCGACUUUCUGGUCUGUAACUGACGCUGAGGCGCGAAAGCGUGGGGAGCAAACAGGAUUAGAUACCCUGGUAGU